rnacentral:rRNA from 1 species
GAGUUUGAUCAUGGCUCAGAUUGAACGCUGGCGGCAUGCCUUACACAUGCAAGUCGAACGGCAGCACGGGAGCUUGCUCCUGGUGGCGAGUGGCGAACGGGUGAGUAAUGCAUCGGAACGUAUCCUGGAGUGGGGGAUAACGUAGCGAAAGUUACGCUAAUACCGCAUAUUCUGUGAGCAGGAAAGCGGGGACCUUGGGCCUCGCGCUCUUGGAGCGGCCGAUGUCGGAUUAGCUAGUUGGUAGAGGUAAAGGCUCACCAAGGCGACGAUCCGUAGCAGGUCUGAGAGGAUGAUCUGCCACACUGGAACUGAGACACGGUCCAGACUCCGUACGGAGGCAGCAGUGGGGAAUUUUGGACAAUGGGGGCAACCCUGAUCCAGCCAUGCCGCGUGAGUGAAGAAGGCCUUCGGUUGUAAGUAC